rnacentral:rRNA from 1 species
CAGUCGCCGCGGGAAUACGGAGGGUGCAAGCGUUAUCCGGAUUCACUGGGUUUAAAGGGUGCGUAGGCGGAUCUGUAAGUCAGUGGUGAAAUCUCCAGGCUUAACCUGGAAACUGCCGUUGAUACUAUAGGUCUUGAAUUUUGUGGAGGUUAGCGGAAUAUGUCAUGUAGCGGUGAAAUGCAUAGAUAUGACAUAGAACACCAAUUGCGAAGGCAGCUGGCUACACAACUAUUGACGCUGAGGCACGAAAGUGUGGGGAUCAAACAGGAUUAGAUACCCCAGUAGUCCCUGUCUCUUAUAC